CGGAGAUGUUCCCAGCCCCAGGAGCUCCCAACCCCUUUGCAGGCUGGCUGGCCAGAGAGAGAAUUUCGGACAGGAUUUAGGCCUGGAAUUUCCCUCCAAAUGGGCGGUGUCGAUCAGGGUAAAAUGAAUACGUGGACAUUUACUACGGAGACAAAGUUGGAAAGAACCUGCUAGGCAGAGGGAACAGCACAGGAUUUCCAGGGUUGCAGCCCAGCCUGGCAUAUUAAUGGCAGGAGGCCAGGUCUAGAGAUGAUCAUGAUGAAGAUGAUGGUGAUUCAUGAUGAGGAGGAGGAAAUUUCCAUUAAAAGAUCCCGGUAGCCCUUUAUAGCUUACAAAGUCCUCUGACUUCCAUGUCCCAGAACAUCAAAAUGUUAUGUUCCUAUUCUGCAAAUGAAGGUCUGAGGCCUGGAGAGGUGAUAGAACCAGAGCAAGACCCAAGCACAAAGGACCUUCCCCUAGGUACACAGGUGGGCAGCCGCUGCUGUCCCCAGCAAGCCCGAGUGAUGACUGUGUGUUCACUGGCUAGCUAUGUGAUCGUGGACGGACAUUGCCCGUCUCUGUGCCUCAGUUUCCUCUUUUAUAAAAUGAGAAAAAUACUUCAUGUGGUUGCUGAAAGGAUGAUAUGACUGAAAACAAGUAAAGAGCUUGGAGCAGAACCUGGCACAUAGUAUGUGCUCAAUAUAUAUGAGCUCUUAUUGUUU
rnacentral:lncRNA from 1 species